rnacentral:rRNA from 1 species
GACGUAGGGGGCCAGCGUUGCUCGGAAUUACUGGGCGUAAAGGGUUCGUAGGCGGUGUGGCAAGUCGGUAGUGAAAUCUCCAGGCUUAACUUGGAGGCUGCUGCCGAAACUGCCGUGCUAGAGGACGGGAGAGGCGAGUGGAAUUACAGGUGUAGCGGUGAAAUGCGUAGAUAUCUGUAGGAACACCUGUGGCGAAGGCGGCCCCCUGGUUGGAUACUGACGCUGAUACGCGAAAGCGUGGGGAGCAAACAGG